GCAUGGCAUUGGAUUUAUGGCAGGUCCCACUCUGUGAGCCUGUCAUAGUGUACUCCAUGCAAGAGCAAACAGCCAUCCCGAACCAUUGCCCGGUCGCUGCCCGUAGGCCGAGGGCACUGAAGUGGAUGGAACAGCU